AUUGAGGGUCCCUGCUGACCCUUCCGUACUCCUGGACCCCCUUGACCCCUCUAUUUCUGUUGGCUAAGGCCAGCCUUGGACAUUCUCCAGGAAGGCCUGGGGAGGAGGAGUGAAGUCUGUGCAUAGAUGGGAGAGCCUUCUGCUCAGAGGCUCACUCAGUAACGUUGUUUAAUUCUCUGCCCUGGGGAAGGAGGAUGGAUUGAGAGAAUGUCUUUCUCCUCUCCUAAGUCUUUGCUUUCCCUGAUUUCUUGAUUUGAUCUUGAAAGGUGGGCAAAGUUCCCUCUGACUCUUCCCCCACUCCCCAUCUUAUUGAUUUAAUUUAAUUUUUCACUCCCCAGAGUCUAAUAUGGAUUCUGACUCUUAAGUGCUUCCUCCCCCUCACUACCUCCUUUAAUACAAAUUCAAUAAAAAAGGUGAAAUA
rnacentral:lncRNA from 1 species